rnacentral:rRNA from 1 species
GAAUCUUGCGCAAUGGGCGAAAGCCUGACGCAGCGACGCCGCGUGUGGGAUGACGGUCUUCGGAUUGUAAACCACUGUCGGGAGGGACGAAUGCGCCGCAAGGCGAGUGACGGUACCUCCAGAGGAAGCACCGGCAAACUCUGUGCCAGCAGCCGCGGUAAUACAGAGGGUGCGAGCGUUGUCCGGAAUCACUGGGCGUAAAGGGCGCGUAGGCGGCUGGAUAAGUAGGGGGUGAAAUCUUGCGGCUCAACCGCAAGGCGGCCUCUUAAACUGUCCGGCUGGAGCACGGUAGAGGCAGAUGGAAUUCCCGGUGUAGCGGUGGAAUGCGUAGAGAUCGGGAAGAACAUCGGUGGCGAAGGCGGUCUGCUGGGCCGUUGCUGACGCUGAGGCGCGACAGCGUGGGGAGCAAACAG